GUUUCACCGUGUCAGCCAGGAUGGUCUCGAUCUCCUGACUUCGUGAUCUGCCUGCCUUGGCCUCCCAGAGAGCUGGGGUUACAGGCGUGAGCCACCGCGCCCGGCC
rnacentral:antisense_RNA from 1 species